ACCGACUAAUGUUGAAAAAUUAGCGGAUGACUUGUGGCUGGGGGUGAAAGGCCAAUCAAACCGGGAGAUAGCUGGUUCUCCCCGAAAGCUAUUUAGGUAGCGCCUCGUGAAUUCAUCUUCGGGGGUAGAGCACUGUUUCGGCUAGGGGGUCAUCCCGACUUACCAACCCGAUGCAAACUACGAAUACCGAAGAAUGUUAUCACGGGAGACACACGGCGGGUGC
rnacentral:rRNA from 2 species